ACACACACACACACACACACAAUGGAAUAUGAGUCAUAAAGAACAAUGACAUGGCAUUUGCUGGUAAAUAGAUGGAACUGGAGAAUAUCAUGCUAAGUGAACAUAGCCAGUCCCAAAAUGACAAAGGUCAAGUAUUUCCUAUGAUAUGCAGAAACUAAUCCAAAAUAAGGGGUUGGGGGGCGAGGAAAAAAAGAGAUAACGUCAUCAAAAUAGAAAAAAGAUCAGUAGAGUAGAUGGAAAGGGGGAGGCACUGAGGGAAAAAAAGGAGGGACAGGAAAAGGGAAUAACAGUGGAAUGAAAUCUGACCAAAGUUUCAUAUGUACAUACAGGAACGUAGUACAGUGAAUCCCAACAUAACUAUACAGACCCACAAGAUACUGGGGGAGAAAAUAAAAGCCAGACAUGGGUGGCAUACACCUAUAAUCCUAGUGAUUCAGGAGGCUGAGGCAGAAGGAUUGCCAAGUUCAAGGACAGCCUCAGCAAUUUAGUGAGGCCCUGAGCAACUUGGUGAAACUCUGUCUCAAAAUAAAAAAGGCUGGGGGACAUGACUCAGUGGUUUAAGUACCCCUGGGUUCAAUUCCUGGUACUCAAAAAAAAAAAAAAAAGAUACACUAUAAAUAAAUUGCAGAAAGAUUAGUAGAGGGAGGAAAGCAUGGGAAGCUGGGAGAGAGUGCCAGGGACUGAAUUAGAGCAAAAUAUAUUCCAUGUUUUUGUGAUUAUGUCAAAAUGUAUCCUAAAGUUUUAUAUAUAACUAAUUUUCAAAAACCAAAAGGGCUGCCUCUUGAGCUCUAGUCCCCAGCAGAGGUGCAGAAACCCACCCUGAAUGGCUAGACAUGAUGGAGCAUGUGGCUCUGGGUUCCUUUAGAAGCACUAUAAAAAAGGAGCGGGGGCUGGGUGUGUGUGUGUGUGUGUGUGUGUGUGUGUGAUUCCAUCAGCCUGUCCAGGACAAAUCAGAGGUAACAGGACUGAGACACACAAAACUGAGGAUCAAAGCAAUCAGUAAUCUCAGCCUCCAUUUUCUCUCUCCUUAAGAAGGCCUGCACCCUCCCACUAGCAAAAGACCUUGUCCCACAGAUAAUGAAUCUAAUAAGUGCUAGCCCUCACCCACAUGGGGGCAGGGAUGGGAGGGCAUUGUUUUUUUGAAAAGCAAAAGACCUUGGUGUAAAGGAACAGCCAGUACCUAUAGCUGUGCUGACUGGCAAGCCCAGCCAAUUGAAACUCAGGGAAAGGGUAAAGAGGUCAACCAACAGAGAUGCUUCCCAGCACAGCCCCAUCUCCUAGCCCAGCAGAAGCAGCUCCUGCUACAUCCCAGUGCUUUGCACUCUUAGCAAAUUCCUCCUUCCUCCAUCUUGGUCCAAGGCACUUUCAGUUGCUCUGUCACCUGCUGAACAGUAACCUGGAGAAGAGCUCUGGCAGGCUGUAGGGUGUCCCUGCUCAAUCAGCAGAGAAGCCUGGCUCAUGUGGAGACCUCACUCCUGCCUCCCUCUCUGCUGGGAGCUCUGUCAGCCCUCACCCUCACUUGGCAUCAGCAACAGCCACUUCCUCACCAGCCCUGCCUUGUCCUUAGCUAUCCAAAUCAAUUCUCCAGAAUAAUCUCACCUGUUGGCUGAUGAGAAUCACUGAAGUGCACAGUACUCCGGGCCUUUCACAAAGUGACCCCUAACUACACAUCUCAACUGCCACCUCACCCUCUUAACCAACCAAGACCCCAUAACAAAGCACUUUGUGCUGCCCAGUGGAGCAUGAUUUUCCGUGCAUGCAACUCCCCUGGUAAGGUCCCCUUCUCCACUCCCUCACCAGGCAAACACCCACCCAGCUCCAUGCCAUCCUGAUGGGAAGAUUAUGCCACUUGGAUCAGAACUGCUGUAACUUUUAAGCCCCUUCUGUCAGGUCAGUCACAUCACAGGCCUGGCGCCUCUCCUGUCAGGGAGGAGGACAGCAUCUCUAGGCAGGGGGCAGAGAUAAUGAUGUGAGCCUACUACAGGAGACAGUUCGGGUUCUGUUCAAGCCCCAGGCAUGCUCCUUUACCUUUCUGCACCCUUUCUUCUCCCUCAAUGGUCUCCCCUUCUCAGUUCUCUAAGCUGAAAACCUCCAACUGCUCCUUCAACCCAACACAGAGCCUGGCACAAAGUAGCAGGUACAGUGAAUGUUUUCUCAAUAAAUCCAUAUGCCCAGGAAGAGUGAUGCUGUCUCAACAAUGUCAACAAUCCCAUCAGAGUUAGGUCCAAAAUGGAAUGAAUCUCGUCUACACUGUCCAAACUACUGGCAGGUUUUUUGUUUUUUUGUUUUGCUACUGAGGACUGGACUCAGGGGUACUCCCUCACACCCUCAGUGUGGCACAUCCUCAGUUUUUCUUAUUCUGAGACAGGGACUAAGUUGCUGAAUUUGGCCUCAAAUUUGUGAUCCUCCUGCCUCAGCCUACCAAGUCGCUGGGAUGACGGGUAUAUGCCACCAUGCGUGGUCCAAACAACUGGCUUUGUGACCACACUGAUGACAAGGAACUCAUUUCUCACCCAGCCUGCUCUCCAAAGAACUCCAUCUACCCUCAUGGGAGAUGUGCUCUAGAUCAAAUUGCCCUUAAAAUUGUGAGUACCCACGUUUGUCCCAGGCCUCCCCUUCACUAGCCUCAACAUCCUAAUCCCCUGAUCUCAUUUCAAGGUGCCAUCAGCUUUCCUGAAUCCCUCAGGUACCAACCUCCAUAAGUUGUUUUACCUCCUGAAUGAUGCCCUCCAGAUUUCCCCUUAGGACACAAGGGAUUUUAGAAAGUAGAGUGACUUCUGCAAUUAUCUACAUAAAGAAAAAGCCCUGCAUCAGAGAACUUGGAAAGCAUGUCACUGGGAGGGUGACCGCUUGGCUAGGGCACAUGUUGAAGGUGGCCAACAACCAAAGUGUAGAGGAAGCUGACCAUGAAAUCAUACCUCUAACAGCAUGUGCCCUGCCCAGCUCCUUCCAGCCCAGGCCUCUCCUCAAGCAGCUGAUACUGAACAUUCACUUUAUUAUAGUUUCAAUUAUGGUAUGAAAAGAUGAUCUGUGGAAACAGACUCAAACUUGCAACUGAAAAAACUAGGCUGUCUGGCCCAGGAAGUCUUAGUUUUAUGGAGGCAGAGGAAAGUCAGAGAGGGUGGGUUGGUUUUUGCUUGUUUUAAGUCCUGCAGGAUACAGCCACAAAGUGUAGAAAAAAGGUGAGGUCAAUGCUUUAGAGAAAGGGGACACUGGUGCCUAAUAGCCUUGGAAAAACAGGACAGUCACUGCCUGAGUGAGGGAUGUACAUACAGCACUGCUACUUAACAGGUAGCAUCAGAGUCUGCAGGUUCUGCCACGGAGAGCUGUGUGAUUCGAGGCAAGUCACUUUAUUUAAGCCCCAUUUCCUUACUGGAAAGGGAAAAGAUUUCCAGAUCCGACUGUUGGAGAAUUCAAUACUGAACUCUCAAAACAGCAAGAAAAAUGUUAUUUCUUCUGAGUGGUUAAAAACUUACUAAUUAGGAACCAGAGUAUUUCACCACAAAUAAACAGGGUAGUUAAGAGAGACCUCUAUGCAUCUGUCUGCGGAGCAGGAACUGCAAUUCUUGCAUCACUGCUUCUCCAGGAAAUGCAAUAUAGAGUGGAAAGGGGCUUUGCAGAGUCCUGUGUUCUAACCAUGCCAGGUGGCUGGACUCCUGCCUGCCUCACACAUCAGUGCUCUACAACUCGGUUUAAAAGAUUCCCUUUUCUUUCUCCCCUCCAGGAUGACAGUGGGCUGCUCAGAAAAUUUGCCAAUUAUCAAAGACAACAAUGACUCGGGCUGGCUUUAAUCUCCUGACGAUGGCCCAAAAUGACCUAAACAGAAUGCUGCAACUAACUGAAUGACUUUGGCCCAUUAGCUGACACUGGAAUACAGAUAAAGGUCUCCUGGUAAUACUGAGCAACCCAUGGACACUAUAUGGCAUCACAUUAUUAAUAAACAACGAUGAGAACACCAUGAUACCAUCCUUGUUCUGGAUGACUUCAGAGAUGCCCCCACCUCCCGUAGAAGGCACUGGCAUAAGAAGAACGGGAAUUACAAGAAGACCAUUCACAGAACAAGCUGUUUUCAGCUUUAACUGCUCUUAAUGCCUCUGGUGUUUAAGGCUCUGGAUUGCUAGAAAUCCAACUGCCUCAAGGAAAAAAAUUUUUGCUUUUUCCCAUAACUCACUACUGAAUAUUUUCCUCUACUAUAUUUACUAAUGAAAUAUGAAAAACAGGGAAAUUAUAAUGAAUGAUUAAUUGUAAGAGUAAAACUUUUCCAAAUGUCAUCAAAUAAUGUGGUACAAGGCUAAAAUAUAUUUUUCUUUGUUACACUAUAAAAAAUGCUUACUAAAGUAUUUAUCAUUCAUUUUGUUCAGCUCACGAAUUUGGACAGAGAGGUCCAUGAAGAAAACCAGAGCAGGUUUCAGGCCCUCAAAAGCGCCAGGGAGGGCUGGGGUUGUGGCUCAGCAGUAGAGCACUCACCUAGCACAU